rnacentral:rRNA from 1 species
GUGUCAGCCGCCGCGGUAAUACAGAGGUCCCAAGCGUUGUUCGGAUUCACUGGGCGUAAAGGGUGCGUAGGUGGUAGGGUAAGUCGGAUGUGAAAGCUCGGAGCUCAACUCCGAAAUGGCAUUGGAAACUACCCUGCUAGAGGUUCGGAGGGGGGACUGGAAUACUUGGUGUAGCAGUGAAAUGCGUAGAUAUCAAGUGGAACACCAGUGGCGAAGGCGAGUCCCUGGACGACACCUGACACUGAGGCACGAAAGCUAGGGGAGCAAACAGGAUUAGAAACCCUUGUAGUCC